ensembl:lncRNA
AUGCUCAUACGCCCACACACUCACAUCUAUACACACACUCACAUCCACACACUCACACACACAUUCACACACACACAUCCACACACACUCACACACAUACAUACACACACUCACAUCUAUACACACACACACAUCCACACACACACAUCCAUACAAUCUCACACACACACAUCCAUACACACACACACUCACACACACACACACACCCAUAAACACACAUACGCAUAUCCACACACACUCACACACAUACAUUCUCACACACAUAUCCAUACACACUCACGCACAUAUUCACACCCACACACACAUACUCACUUACAUACACACACAUCAACACACACACAUACUCACAUCCACACACACACACACUCAUGCACACACACAUCCAUACACACUCACACAUCCAUACACACUCACACACAUACAUUCUCACACACACACACACUCACUUCCACACACUCACACACACACACUCUAGGCUUAACAACAAGGAUACUUCUUCCCCCUUCCUUUACCCCCUCCCUCUCCCAGAAAGAAUCCAUCUGGCUCUGCAGGGGUGGCCACAGACCUUCAGACCAUCUGGAAACAGCAGCCUGGAAGAGCCGGCCAGAUUGGAGAUUAGCAAUAAAGAGAAACUCAGGGCAGGAAUCAACAUUCCUUCUCACAGGCUCAUCAAACAACUCCCCCCUGAAGAAGGCUUGGAAGCCUCCUCCCCCGCCUCCUCACCACGGAGCCCUGCCGGUCCCCUAGUCAAGGACCCUCGGCUGACUCACUGUACAAGUGCUCCGGGAAUGUCUGCCCCGACCCCGCCAGAAGCCGCACGGAGUGGGAACCAAAACAUUGGGAAAGCAACCCUGGACUGGAUAGAAAGUUAGCUGAGCUUAAACCAUGACUCUCUGACUCUCUGGUUAAAUUUCUGUGUAUUCCUUCUCCCCUCUGGUCCUCAGUUUCCCCCUUAAAAUUAAACCAAAUUGACUAAAGUGAUGCUUCAGGACUCUUCCUAGUUUCCCAGCACCGUGGCAGGUGUGCUGUCUCUGUGGGUGGGACAGAGUUUGGCCAUGGCUGGUACUCAUAACAUGUUUGCUGAAGGGAAUUGAAGUGAACCCACCAGACCAGUGAGGGGAUGGGCGUGGGGGAAGAUGGGGACAUCACCACAUCCAGUGCAGGGACGUGAGCUGCCAGUGGGUCCCUGCCAGAGGCCAGCCUGAGACCAGCACCAUGGAGCCGUCACCCCCGGCCACACUAGGGUGUGCCACCUCCACAGGCCCCGCCCACAGAGUGACCUCAUCUGGACUCAGGGCAAAGAGGGAGAGUUAAGGAAGGCUGCCAGGGGUCGCAGAGCCAGGGGACCUGACAUGCAGGAGCCCCACCUGGAGGAGUCUCAUUACACACAGCGAGGGAUGCCAACAGUCAUAUCAAAGAAUCCUAAGAGCUGCUGGAAGAGGGGAAGGGGCGAAUGUCAUAGUGUUGCAGGAAAAAGUGGGGCAUGAGAGGAUGGUUACAUCCCAGGUCUCAGGUGAGUCCCUGGGACAGGCCACCAAGUGUGGGUUCUUGGUUUCACACAGGAAAGAAUCCAAGAGUGAACCACAGUAAAGACAAUGAAGAUUUAUUUAGAGAUAGAGAUAUACAUCCCAUAGACAUACAUUCCAUAAGGACAUUCCAAAGGUCUGUGUAGUCAAAGCUAUGGUUUUUCCAGUAGUCAUGUAUGUAUAUGAGAGUUGGACCAUAAAGAAGGCUGAGCAUCAAAGAAUUGAUGCUUUUAAACUGUGGUGUUGGAGAAGACUCUUGAGAGUCCCUUGGAUGGCAAGGAGAUUCAACCAGUCAAUCCUAAAGGAAAUUAGUCCUGAAUAUUCAUUGGAAGGACUGAUGCUGAAGCUGAAACUCCAAUACUUUGGCCACCUGAUGUGAAGAACUGACUCACUGGAAAAGACCCUAACACUGGGAAAGGUUGAGGGCAAGAGGAGAAAGGAGAGACAGAGGAUGAGACGGUUGGAUGGCAUCACUGACUCAAUGGACAUGAGUUUGAGCAAACUCCGGGAGAUGGUGAAGGACAGGGAAGCCUGGCGUGCUGCAGUCCAUGGGGUCACAAAGAGUCGGACGCGACUGAGUGACUGAACAACAACAACAUUCCAUAGAUGGAACGUGAUCUGUCUCAGAAACGGAGAAUGGCCCCGGAAGGAACACACUCCACAGAGGGAGUAUAAAGCAUCUCAAAAGGGAAGAGGCCCCCAAAUAUUGGGUGGUUAGUUUUUAUGGGCUAGGUAAUUUCAUAGGCUAAUGCCUGGGAUUAUUAUUCCAAUUGUCUUGAAGAGGGGUGGGGAUUGCCAGGAACGGGCACCACCCACUUUCUGGCCUUACAUGGCUAGCCUUAGAACUGUCAUGGCACUGUUAAGCAUGUCAUUUAGCCUGCUGAUCUGUAAUAAGGCAGUUUAAAGUCUAGUUGAAGUUGACUCAUCUGCCAUCUAAGACCUGGCUGGUUCUAAACAGUUAAUGGUGUGUCCUCAACAGCUAUGCCAUUUUUUUAAAGGUUGUUCCUCUUCCUAUCUCAGUAGUGGUCAAGCCAUGCCCCUACGGGGGCGGGAAUUGGACCCGGGGAAAAUAUACUGCUGCUGUGGUUACAAUGCCUGCAGUGCAGGCGAUCUGGGUUUGAUCCCUGGGUCGGGAAGAUCCCCUGGAGGAGGGUAUAGCAACCCACUCCAGUAUUCUUGCUUAGAGAAUCCCAUGGCCAGAGGAGCCUGGCGGGCUAUAGUCCAUAGAGUUGCACAGAGUUGGACACGAUUGAAUUGUAAGCGCAGCAGCAGUGGUUACAGUCCCUGAUGCAAUGCCCAUGAUGGCAUGAGCACGAGAGCCUCAUAUUCAUGCCAUCCCAAUGCUUCUGGUACCAGCAGGAGUUAGCUCUCUUCUCUUUCCAGGGUGAUGUUCUGGAAGGAGGAUGCUUUAGGAUGGGAUAGCCAUGAGUUCAAAUCUCAGCUCCAUGGUUCACUAGCUGUGUGACUCUGAACAAGUUACAGAGAAUCUCUCGAUUGGUCUUCCUACAUGAAGAGUGAGCAAAACCUAACUCGGAAUGAUCAGGAGACUUAAGUGAGGUAAAAAGUGUGAAAAUACCUACCAUGGUACAUGGGACAGGAGCCUCCAUAAAGAUCACACAGUGUGGCAGGUUAAAAUGGAUACAAAUUCUUUGAUAUUUCUUUUGUCAAGAGGGGGUCUAAUCCCCUUGAAUAUGAACUGGCCUUACUGAUGGCCAAUGCAAUGUGGUCAAAUGACAUCCUGUGACCACCAAGGACGGAUCAUAAGAAGCUUUGAGGCUUCCAUGUGGGUCUCUUGGGGCAGUCUCCUGAGCCCAGAGCCAGCCCUAGGAAGCACAGCUACCCCGAGAUGCCCCACCAGCGUGGUCACAUGGAGCCCAACCUUCCAGCCCACCCUGAUAUUGAAUAGUGUGCCCCCAAUUUCAUGUUUAGCUGAAACCUGUGAAUGUGACUUUAUUUGGAAAUAGAGUAAUUACAGACUUAAUCAAGUUAAGCCAAGAUCAUAUUGGAUCAGGGUGGGCCCUAAACCCAGUAUGACUGGCAUCCUUAUAAGAAGAGGGUACCCAGGGGAGAGGCCCAUGUGAACAUGGAGGCAGAGACUCAAGUGAUGCAUCUAUAGCCAAGAAAUGCCAAGGGCUGCUGGCAACCACCAGAGGCCAGAAGCAAACAAGGAUCCCUCCCAGGACAUCCCUGGUGGUCCAGUGGUUAAGACUCCAUGUCUUAACAAUGCAGGAGGCAGAGUUUCAGUCCCUAGUUGGAGAACUAAGAUCCCACAUACCACAUGGUGUGGCCUGGAAGAAUAAAUAAUUUUAAAAAUUAAAAAAGAAGAAUCCG